rnacentral:snoRNA from 1 species
AGUUUCUGACAGCAUAGAGUUCUUUAUAAAUCUACUGUCAGGUGAGCUGAGAGUAAACCCCAGCUUAGGAAACAGGGGUGUUCUUCAUGUGGAUGACUCUGUGCCGAAAGCAUGGGGGACAGUA